rnacentral:lncRNA from 1 species
CACCUUAUUCUAACAUAAUCUUAAGAGGAAUAACUAGUAACUCAUAAAGAUAAUAAAUAAAAAUAUACCGAAAUCUCCAUUAAUUUGAUUCAUGAAAAAUAAAACUAAUGGCAACCACACUUUAAAUUCCCAUGAAUCUUCAAUGGGAUUUCCUAAUCCUUCACUUAGGAUUCACUCUAAUGUCUUCUUAUAUCAAGAUUAGUACAAGUUUAAGCUCCGACCAAAAUGAGCUAAAAACUCUUAUUUUAGCCCCAAUUCCACAAUUGCCAAAUAUUACAAAAAUGCCCUUAAAAAUUUUCCACUCUACUUCGAUCGCCACCUCUUUACCACAUUCACAAAUCACGUAAUCAUGGUAGUCAAACCGCAAUCGCUCUCCCAUUGAAUUAUUGACUGGUCGUGAUCGUGACCCUCAAGCCGCGAUCGUGGUAAUUAAGGGUCGAUUCUUAGGCUUGAUUUCUACAAUUUGGCUCUUUUCUUUCACAUUUAACCUCUUUUUGACUUGAAUGACUUGAUAAUCUUUGUUUUUCACCUUUUCCUAUACAAAUGUUCAUUACGUAAGAUAUUAACAUAAAAUCAAUGGAAAACCAUGAUAUUUUAGGCUUAAAAGGUGUUAGAAAAUCCCCAAAUUGACGACUUAUCACUGGUCAAGUAGAUUGAGACAUGAGAUUGAGAUUUAGGGAAAUUGGAGAUAGUAUACGAGUUUGUAACCACCCAUGGAUCGUAUUUUGGGAGCAUUGACGUUCGAUAGGUGUAUAUAGAAAGUCAUGCGAUAACUUUUCAUUAUUUACCUCAUCAUCCAUAGUACUGCAUUGUAUUUGGACAUCAUGUAUUGUUUUAAUAUAUUACUUGUCAUGUACUUAACUUCUAUAAUUGUAAGUGGAAAUGGUGUGAUCUACUAUUUAGGAACUUUUCUUUUGCAUGUUAUUUUCUCAUAGUAUAUUUUUUACAUGUUUUAUUUUCUACUGUGCUUAGUCUGCCCAUAAUACCUACUGAGUAUAAAUAGACUGUACUCACUCCUACAAUACCCUUUUGGUGCAGAUCCUAGUUUAAGUACCACAUGUGGUGGUUGAUCUUAUUGUAAAAAUUUUGGGUUUUCAAGGUACUAUUUUCUCCAGAUUUCGGUGUUUAUUUGGACCUCAUCUAUAUUUAUUUUUCUUCACGUAUGACUCAGAGACAGAUCGUGUAUUAUUAAAUAUUUAGAUGGUUGUUUAGAUGCUCUACAUUUAUGUCAUCAAAUUUUGGGAUUUAUGAUAUUUCUUUUGGAGUUUCUCUAUAAUUGUACUUGUAUUGGCCUGACUUAGCUUUAGAAGUCUCACUUAACAUGUUUUCACUUAAUGAUUUUGUUUAUUUUUUCCAUUUCGAGAUUACGGCUUACUUAUCAAGGCUGGGCCACAUUGAGUUCCAUCAUCAUCUAGGUUUUUGGGUCAUGAUACAACCCAACUAAUCGGACCAUGCAGGCACCUAGAUAAAAUUAGUUCGGAUGAUCUACAAAACAAAUAUUCGAAAAGUAUCCAUUGAAGAAAAUCUAUCUCCAAGAAAAUAGAUAUAAUUAAAGCAGAUGAAGAAAUAAAAGGUGCUAUUACAACUACAAUAUAAACAAGAGGUUAUUCCAAAAUUAAAUCAAGAUGAAUGCUUUGGUAUGGAAUAUAUGAUUGGUGGAAACACAGAAAGUAUUCACCAGAUUGAUAACUUUACAAAAAAGACAUCACUUUUAUUUUCCAGAACUGAUGGAUCCAUUUCAAGAAAAUCACAAUUACAGGAAUAUAAAAGAAGACUAGGGAUGCAGAAUGUAGUGUCUAAUACAUCAGUAAAAAUUUGGGCAUUUAUGGUUUCAAUUGUAAAUUUCAUGGUUCUCAUGAAUGAAGAGUAGUAGAUCAUCUUGAAGUUAGAAAAUUAAGAUGCAGGAGUGAUAGUAAUUGUCAUUUAAGUAUAUGCAAAAUGUAAACAAGCUAAAUGACUAUCACUAUGGGAAUCUUUAGGAGAGAUUUCACAAUCCAUUCAGGAACCUUGGUUAGUGGUAGGGGAUUUUAAUGUCAUCAUCAAUGAAAAAGAGAAUCUGGGGAGUUUGCCAAUUACUAUAUAUUAAAUAGUGGCUUUAGACACUGCAUAAAUCCAUGUAAUUUAGUAGAUGAUGCAUUCAAGGAAACUAAGUACACAUGGUAGAAUGGAAGAACAGAUGUUAAUUGUAUAUUCAAGAGAUUAGAUAGGGUUCAAUGCAAGUUUUUUUCCAAUAUUAAAGGUUGAGAAUUUGAUCAAAAAUGGUUAAGAUCAUACACCUCCAUUGCUUAACUUUAGUACUAUUAAUGAACAAAUUAUAAAAUCCUUCAAGUUUCUAAAUUUCAAGAUUAAGGAAGAAUCAUGUUUGGAAAUUAUAAGAUAGAACUAGAAAACUGAAGUGUAAACCAAACUUUAUUAUGUUCCAUCACAAGCUGAAAAGGACCAAAAUUGCUUUAAGUCAAUUGCUUAAAGAAAAUUUGGUAAUAUUUUUCAAGAAAUUACAACUUUGAAAGAGGUUAUUAAAGUUAUGGAGAAGCAGUUUGAGGAAGAUCCAUAAGGUGCAAAUAGAGAGAAAAUAUUUAAAGCUCAGAUUAAUAUAAAUUUAUUGAUCAGAAGGGAAGAAGUGUUUUAAAAGCAUAAAGCAUGUUUAGAGUAGUUUAAAUAUGGGGAAAUAAAUAAUAAAAGUUUUUCAUUCAAUUAUUAAAGGGAGAAGAAGAAGGUUGAAGGUGAAGAGAAUCCAAAAUGAAAAGGGUAUUUGGGUAGAAUAUAAAGUUGAGAUUUUUACAAAUGCUAUACAAUUCAUUCAAAAAUAGUUCUGUAAGGAAUAGGAGGGUGAAUAUUUCUUAAUGCUAGAGUAUUUGCAAAGAAUAGUAACUUUAGAGCAUAAUAAGAAGUUGAGUAAAAUCCCUGGCAUUUAGAAGAUUAAAAAAAUAGUUAUGGGGCUAUAUAAACACAGUAUUAGAGGGCCAUAUGGAAUGACAAGGGCUUUCUAGCAGGAGGCAUGAGAUACUAUAGGAGAUGAUGUGUACCAAAUAGUAGUAGCUUUCUUUUAUGGGUUUCACCUUAAAGAUUCAUCAUACAUACUAAUUUGGUUCUACUACAUAAAAUCUUAGUUGUGAACACUUUCUCUGACAUGAGAAAAAAUUUUGUAAGUAAUUUUGUCAAUAAGAUUUUCUCAAGACACGUUCAUGAUAGACUCAAGAAAUUGUUACAUGAGAUUAUUUUAGAAAAACAAAUUGGUUUUGUUUAAAGAACAAACAGUGCAGAGAACAUUCUUGUAGUCCAAGAAAUCGUCUCAUAGAUAAGAAAGAGAGGCAAACUCCCUAAUAUGGCCAUUAAUUUGGAUAUGAUGGAAACUUAUGACAAGGUGUAGUGGUUGUAUCUACCGAAGGUAUUGAGAAAAUUGGGUUUUAAUGAAACAAUCAAUAAUAUGGUGUACAGAUUAGUGGGAAACAAUUGUUAUUCAAUCCUACUGAAUAGGCAACCAGAAGGGUUUUUUAGAUCCUAUAGAGGAUUGAAACAUGUAGAUCCCUUAUCUUCUACCCUCUUUAUACUCACUGCAGAGGUAAUGUCUAGAAAAAGAGUUUAAGAUGUUUAGUAUGCCUAGGGGAAGCCCAAAAAUUAAACAUCUUGCAUUUGCAGAUGAGAAGAUCAUACUAUACAAGGAUAAACUAGGCACAGUAUAAAGAAUCAUAGCAACUUUAUAGAGAUAUGAACUUGUGUUAAGGCAUAAGAUCAAUAAGAAGAAGAAUGAGACAUACUUGCAUAAAUGUGUUUCCCUGGGGUAGUAGUGAUCAUUGAGGUUGCUACAUAUAUUUUAAGAUUUUCCUUUCACUUACUUAGGAUAUUCCACUUUUCACAUAGGGAAGAAGAAAAAUUAUUAUCAAAAUAUUAUGAAUAAAAUAAGCAGUAUACUUCAAGGAUGAAAAGAAAAGAUAUCAUAUAUAGAGAGAUAUACUUAUCAAACAUGUACUGUAAAGUAUACCCAAUCAUUGUCUAUCAGUGAUAAAUCCACCUGUUAAUGUGUUGACUACUAUUUAGCUAAUACUAGCUCAAGUUUUCUAGAACAGUCAUAUAGGAGCAAUAGGUAGAAAUGGUCAAGCUAGAAAAGCUUAUGUUUUCCAGAGAACGAAGGUGGGCCAUUGAUUUAUUUUGCAAACUGUAAUGGAAAUUUAUAACUAAGAAGUUGAUUUGGAGCACUUAUAUGCAUAGUAAGUACUGCAAAAAAGAGAAUCCUAAUAUAGUAAUAUGGAAAACUGGUUCAGGAUCAUAGGAGUGGAAGACGAUGUUAUUGUCCAGGGACCUAGUAGAACAACAAAUCUUAUGGCAAACAAGGAAAGGAAAUUCUAGUCUAUGGUUUGAUAAUUUGAUAGUUAUACGUGAUUUAUACAACAAUAUUUAGGUUAGCAAAGAUUGGGAUGACCAAUAUGAAUAUGUGAGAAAUUGGUUAUUAAAUAGGACUUGGAAUGAGCACCUGAUUAACGAAAUAUUUCCAGAAGAAGUUGUUAAACAUAUCCUGGGCAAAAUUAGAUCUCUAGUCUUAAUAGGACAGAGUGAUAGACUAGAUGGAUACUUGAGGCUAAUGGAAAUUUCACUGUGAGAUCAGUAUAGUAAUACAUUAGACAAAAGGGGCAAAGUAGUAGAACAUUUAAGGAGACUUGGAUAGAAAGGUUACCCUUUAAAAUGGCCUUAUUCAUGUGGAGGAUAUGGAAAAGAAAAGUACCUAUGGAUGAUAAUAUAAGAAAAUGGAGAUAUGAGGGGCCAUCCAGAUGCUGAUGUUGUGUGAAUAUAGCAUAAGAAACCAUACCAGAUGUGUUUCUAUGAUCAGACAUUGCUAUCAGGACAUAGACCUAUUUUUCUUCUUUUGCAAGUAUAAAUAUAAACAGUCUGAGCUUGAGGUAAACCAUUAUGGAAUAGUGGAAUGCAGAUGUUAGGCAGAGGCAAAAAGCUUAUUUUCAAGCUAUCCCUAGUAUGAUCUUUGUGGAACUAUAAAAGAGGAACAACCACAAAACAUAAAGGAAAGAGUAUCUUAUCACAGAGGGUUAUAUACAAUAUAACCAGGAAUCUUGGUAUUCUAUUGAAAGUUGGAAAACUAGCACAAGAAUUUCUAUAUGCAUGGCCAUAUAUUCUUAAGGAAUUUAAUAAAAAUAGGUCAAGAGUGAAGGUUAACUAAGUUACUUGGGAAUUCCCAUGAGAAGAUUGGAUAAAAUAUAACUUUGAUGAAGCUUCUAGGGGAAAUUCGGGAGUUAGCUUAUAUGUAUUUUGCCUAAGGAAUGAGAAAGGAGUCUAAUAUAUGCAGGAGGGGAUAGCAUAGAGAAUACAACAAAUGUAGAAGAAAAGGCAAUAGCUAUCUUUUUGGAAAACACACAUUGCAGUCACUCAUAGCAUAACAAAGUCAUCAUUCAGAUAUACUCUAUAACUUUGCAGAAAAAUUUAAUUAGAGAAUGGGCCUAUCCAUGGAUUAUAUAUGAUAUAGUAUAGUAGAUAUGGAAUUUAAUGGGAAAUAAACAAGUACAGUAACAAAACAGUCUCAGAGAAGGGAACCAAUUAGUUAAUCAUCUGGCUAAUUUUUUAAUUAAUAAGGGGAAUUUGGCAUUCACAGGCUUUCAGUGGCUAGAAUUUAGAUGUAGGAGGAUAAUUAAUAGUGACUAAUAACAAUGCCCAUACUUAAGUUUUUUACUAGAAAAAGGGUGAGGGGGAUAGAUAGGCUAAAGCUUAAUUUGUUCACAUGCAAAUAUAUACAAGCCAUGUAGGCAACAAAAAGAGUGAAACAACUAAUUAGCAUAUAGUACAAUAGCUAACAAAAAGGACUCCCAACAAAAAAGGAGGGUAACUUGUCAUAUUGAAAUUGAUAAACCUGAAGGUCAUAUUACUCUAAAUAUUUGUGGUUUCAAGCAUCUCAUUAUCUCUAUAACAGCCAUAUCUGAAAGAUGGGAAAGAUUAGAAAGACAAAUGGGUUCUUACUAAACAUCGACAGAGGGGAAAUUUCAUUCUGACUCUGAAGAAGUGAUAGUAUUCAGCUGACAGAAACCCUCAACACUGAAAAGAAGGAAGAUAUCGAUCCCAUCCACCGGAUAGCACAACUAAAUCAUAUUGUAAAGUAUGAAAAUAAGCUCAAAAUAAAGAUUUAAUCAAAGCAAAGAGAAAGUGAUCAAUACUUACUUUUGCAAGCAAAGAUAUUCAUGAAGAAGAAACAACUAGAGCACAGUGUUUUUCAUCCAGCACUAGAGCAAGAAGAAGCGUAGUUGAAUAGUGGAAACAUAGAUCAGAUGUUGUAGGGCUGAAGAUGAAAGGAAGAGUAGAUACUGAUUUUGGAAACCCUACUUUUACUCUUAUAUGUAAUAGAAUAGUGGGUUGGGUCUGGUCGAAUGUUAG